GACGAACGCUGGCGGCGUGCUUAACACAUGCAAGUCGAACGGUAAGGCCCUUCGGGGUACACGAGUGGCGAACGGGUGAGUAACACGUGGGUGAUCUGCCCUGUACUUCGGGAUAAGCCUGGGAAACUGGGUCUAAUACCGGAUAGGACCACUGCCUGCAUGGGUGGUGGUGGAAAGCUUUUGCGGUGUGGGAUGGGCCCGCGGCCUAUCAGCUUGUUGGUGGGGUGAUGGCCUACCAAGGCGACGACGGGUAGCCGGCCUGAGAGGGUGACCGGCCACACUGGGACUGAGAUACGGCCCAGCCUCCUACGGGAGGCAGCAGUGGGGAAUAUUGCACAAUGGGCGCAAGCCUGAUGCAGCGACGCCGCGUGAGGGAUGACGGCCUCCGGGUUGUAAACCUCUUUCAGCACCGACGAAGCGCAAGUGACGGUAGGUGCAGAAGAAGGACCGGCCAACUACGUGCCAGCCGCCGCCGUAA
rnacentral:rRNA from 1 species